CUCUCCUCCGUGUGCUGUGCUCUACUCCGACCCCCUCCUCCAGCUCUCCUGCACUGUACACUGGCUUCCGGGUACAGGAGAGACGGCUGCUGCUGCUGCUUAACACAGCAAGUGAAGUCUCUCCCUCCGUCCCUCCCAUGCUCCCGUCCAGCUUCGGCUGGUUGCUAUGGGAACUCUCCUGCGACGCGGCGCGCCGUGACGGCGAUGCGGAAGUGUGGCUGGAAGGACUGGCGAGCAGUCGCGCCGUGGAGCAGCGCGAGGUGACAGAGGCGCCGGGCGUCUGUGUUACCAAGACAACCCGACACCACGUCACCAAUGACGCCCAGGGUGUGCGCCGGAACCGGGCUCUGGAGACGGAGCUCCGUGAAGCGCUUGUUCACUUGGCGGGCUUCUCCGGGGUAUUUAGCGCCGGAGACCGGGGACGCAAGCCGGGUUGCCAGGGCAACAAGCUGCAGCCAAUGACAGCCACUUCCAGGAUGACGUCACCGGGACCAGGGGCGCGCCUCCCCAGCCUCCGUGAGCAGCUGAACACACACACACCAGCAGGGA